rnacentral:rRNA from 1 species
UACAGAGGGGGCGAGCGUUAUUCGGAAUUAUUUGGCGUAAAGGGCGCGUAGGCGGCUUUUCAAGUGACGGGUGAAAUCCCUCGGCUUAACCGAGGAACUGCCUGUCAGACUGGAAGGCUUGAGACCGGGAGAGGUGAGUGGAAUUCCCAGUGUAGCGGUGAAAUGCGUAGAUAUUGGGAGGAACACCAGUGGCGAAGGCGGCUCACUGGACCGGAACUGACGCUGAGGCGCGAAAGCGUGGGGAGCAAACAGG